rnacentral:lncRNA from 13 species
CCCGGGUUCAAGUAAUUCUUCUGUCUUAGCCACCCAAGUACCUGGGACUACAGGCGCCCACCACCACACCUGGCUAAUUUUUUGUAUUUUGGUAGAAAUGGAGUAUCUCCACGUUGGCCAAGAUGGUCUCAGUCUCCUGACCUUGCGAUCCACCCACAUCGGCCUCCCAAAAUGCUGGGAUUACAGACGUGAUCCACCAUGCCCAGCCAGCCAUUGUUUAUUAUGGCAUUCUCAGUACCUGAGAAUCAACAAAGCCUAUGAAAUCGGCACUUUACGUGGUCCUUAAGAGAGAGGGUGCUGCUUCAGACAAGAUGAGAGUCCUUCCUUUCCCACAACUCCCCAUGACAAUUUAUAGCCCAUUCUGCAUUUGACUUCUGCGAAUACCUUCUUUCAGAUAUAAUGAGGUCCCCUGGGGUUGAAAGGGGAAAAGGGGUUUUGAGGAAUGCCAUUCCUUUUCUGAUACCUUGGUGUCUGAGUGCCAUGCAGAAGAUUUAAUACUAAUUUUAUUCCUCUGAUGCAUAUGACAAUAUAAUAUCCUCUAAUUUCAUCUG